CUGGGUGUAGCUCAGUUGGUAGAGUCCUCGCUUUGGAAGCGAGAUGCCGCAGGUUCGAGUCCUGCUGCCCAGACCA
rnacentral:tRNA from 1 species